AGAGUUUGAUCCUGGCUCAGGACGAACGCUGGCGGCGUGCCUAAUACAUGCAAGUCGAGCGGAUUUACUGGAGGAGCUUGCUCCGAAAGUAAGUUAGCGGCGGACGGGUGAGUAACACGUAGGCAACCUGCCUGUAAGACCGGGAUAACUACCGGAAACGGUAGCUAAGACCGGAUAGACGACGAGUGGGCAUCUACUUG
rnacentral:rRNA from 1 species